UCCUCGAAACCAUAUCUUAGUACAGAUUGAGGUUUGUAACUCAUCCUCAUGACGAUGGAAUCCCUAGUAAUCGGAUGUCAUCAUCGUCCGGUGAAUAUGUCCCUGCUCCUUGCACACACCGCCCGUCAAACCACUCGAGCAGGGUUUAGGUAAGUCUCAUCCUCUUAGAUGCUGCGAAUCUAAACUCAGUGAGAUGGGUUAAGUCGUCACAAGGUAACCGUAGGGGAACCUGCGGUUGGAUCACCUCCA
rnacentral:rRNA from 1 species